GACGAACGCUGGCGGCGUGCUUAACACAUGCAAGUCGAACGAUGAAGCGGGUGCUUGCACUCGUGGAUUAGUGGCGAACGGGCGAGUAACACGUGAGUAACCUGUCCUUUUCUUUGGGAUAACGGCUGGAAACGGCUGCUAAUACUGGAUAUUCAGGCUGCAUCGCAUGGUGUGGUUUAGAAAGGUUUUUUCUGGGAUUGGGUGGGCUCGCGGCCUAUCCGCUUGUUGGUGGGGUGAUGGCUUACCAAGGCUUUGACGGGUAGCCGGCCUGAGAGGGUGGUCGGUCGCGCUGGGACUGAGAUACGGCCCAGACUCCUACGGGAGGCAGCAGUGGGGAAGAUUGCACAAUGGACGAAAGUUUGAUGCAGCGACGCCGCGUGGAGGGUGUAGGCCUUCGGGUUGUGAACUCCUUUUUCUCGCGAAAAAGGCACAGUUUUGGCUGUGUUGAUGGUAGUGGGGGAAGAAGCGCCGGCUAACUACGUG
rnacentral:rRNA from 1 species